rnacentral:tRNA from 1 species
GAGAAAGACAUAGUGGAUAUGAUGUUGGCUUGAAACCAAUGUAAGGGGGUUCGAUUCCUUCCUUUCUUA